AUGUUUGUCAAUUACCUUGAAAAUAUUACCUCGUCGACUCGGGAUAUCCAAACCGUGAAGGAUAUCUUGCUCCUUACAAAGGUCAAAUAUACCAUAUACCGGAAUUUCGUAAUGGGCGAAAACCGGUGGGAAAAUUCAAGGUGUAUAAUCAUGCUCACUCUUCACUUCGAAAUGUCAUUGAACGAACAUUUGGAGUGCUCAAAGCUAAAUGGCGCAUCUUGA
rnacentral:rRNA from 1 species